rnacentral:rRNA from 1 species
AUUGAACGCUGGCGGCAGGCCUAACACAUGCAAGUCGAGCGAGCGGCGGACGGGUGAGUAAUGUAUGGGCAUCGGCCCGAGGGAGGGGGUUAACUAAUGGAAACGGUGGCUACUAACGCAUACUAUCGGCUAGACCCAUAUGGGAUUAGCUAGUAGGUGGGGUAAAGGCUCACCAAGGCGACGAUCUCUAGCUGGUCUGAGAGGAUGAUCAGCCACACUGGGACUGAGACACGGUCCAGACUCCUACGGGAGGCAGCAGUGGGGAAUAUUGCACAAUGGGCGCAAGCCUGAUGCAGCCAUGCCGCGUGUAUGAAGAAGGCCUUAGGGUUGUAAAGGACUUUAAGCGGGGAGGCGUUACCCGCAGAAGAAGCACCGGCUAACUCCGUGCCAGCAGCCGCGGUAAUAC